ensembl:rRNA 5S_rRNA 5S ribosomal RNA
CCUCACGGCCCAUACCUCUCUGGCUGCCGCCCUGAUCUCGUCUGAUCUCAGAUGCUAAGGCAGAGUAGAGUCUGGUGAGUACUUCGAAUGGCAAGCCCGCCUGGGAAAUCCCCAGAUGCCGUUAAGC